UCUUAAUCUCACCUACGCCCUCUACCUCGUGGGCAUCGUCGUGCAGUUGAUGUACAUCGGUUCUGUGCAGCUGCCCCUGUACCUCGACCAAACUAGCACGAUCGUAGAGACAACAGGUUAUUUUUUCAUCGGUGGAUUAAUCGCCCUUUGGCUUUCGCUCGCCGUUGAAGUUCCUGUCACUGGACUGGAGAAAUUGCUGAUUCGUCGUCAAACCAAAACUGACGAGGCACCGAAGAAAGAAUGAAGUGGACCGGAGUUCAUUAGUGAUUUAGUGCGUGUGCAUGACGUUUUUACAAGACAGAAAUGGUUGACUUUUUACAAGAAAACGAAAUGUGUCUUUAGGGCCAACAUUAAAACAAUGCUGCUGAUUUUCAUUCG